rfam:Hydrogenivirga sp. 128-5-R1-1 1102927038173, whole genome shotgun sequence.
UCCCGGGUCCCGCCGGGUGGGAGCUGGUGAACCCCGCCAGGCCCGGAAGGGAGCAACGGUAAGCCAGUAUCCCUCGCCGGAUGGGGGUGCCCGGGAUUA